CAGAGUGUGAGCUGAAUAAAGAACUAGAAGCGCACACAUACUGAGGGGCGGGAAGGAAUUCUUUCUUCUACCCAUUGAUGACUGCUUCUUGACCUUUUGGCUAAGAUCAAGUGUAGUAUCUGUUCUACCUAUUGACAUAUAAUCUCAUUCUUUUCUGGUACUGAGUUCCAAGUUUUCAGACCAUCUUAUAAAGUAAGACUUCUGCAAAGGCACACUGAUUUCUUGAAAAGAAGAGGGAAGAAGAGUGAAUGAUAAUCCCCUUUCCCAUCCAUCCACUCAAGAAUCGCUGCUCCAAUGCAAUUGUUAGGAAAUGACCAUCUAUGAGCCAGGAAAUGGGCCCUCACCAGACAUCUAAUCUACAAGGCCAUGAUCUUCAACUUCUCAG